UUGCUGUCGUUCGCGACCGCUUGCUUUGUUCAACCCUAGCGCGGAUUUCUCGGAUUCAACGUAUAUAUAGUGCUGACUAGAAGGUAGCCUCCUUUCGUUUGUGAAAAAGCUCAGAUUUAUUUUCUCGCAGUCUUUUUUUUUUUCUUCUACGUGUCAUUUUAGAUUGCACUGCUUGCAACAUGACACGUGUUUUGGUUGCCGGUGACUCGAUGGUGAAAUACGCGGACCAGUAUUUCCCAUCGCGUCGUAGUUAGUCAGUGUUGCCGCGCAUAGAGGAGUAAGGAUUGAGCAUUUGCUGUCAAUGAUUGCUGACAAGCUAGCUGGUUUUGAUGUUGUCAUUGUGCACGUUGGCACUAACAACACUGUUGACAGUGUCAGCGUGUGCAUGGACAAGUAUCGCCAGCUCGCUCAGGGGAUCAUUGAGAGAAAUCCCAUCGUGCAUGUAGCUUAUUCUGCCAUUCUUUCUCGGGGGCAGAAUCAGUACAGCUCAUGGGAAGCUCAGUCCUCAUGGUUGCAUGACCUGAAUGAUAACUACAAAAAGAUUAACACUGCCCUGAUGCAGAACUGCCACGAGUGCGGCUACACAUUCCUGGGUGGUCUCGUGGACAACUGGCCCAGUUGCCUGAGCAGAGAUGGUGUCCACCCGAGCCGCUUUGGUAACAAGGUGCUGCAGACUUCCUGUACCAGGGGGCCUGCACCCUGUCCAUCCAUCUGGAGAGAAGCCGCAUCCAGCAGUCCUACAAGGAGACCCAGGCACCUUCUUCAUGGACCAGUUGGACUUGGCAGGACAGCAUCCCUGCCAUCUCCGAGGCUGACUUUCCCCCGCUUGGUUUGCAUAUUUUAAUUUCUUCGCAAGCAGCAAGUGGACCUUCCACAGCACCAGCUCCUGUCUGGAAAGCCAGCACUGCUCCCUUGCAGAGGCACGGCACCAGCCAGCCUACCAGAACCCUUCAAGGUCCACUGAUGUACCAGCUGCAUGCAUUCACACUACCAUCAAGUCAUCAGGAGCGUCUGUACCUCUAUCGAAAUAUUACACUAUUGUCUAAGAUGGAAAAUCAGACUUGUAUAUUUUGCUGUAAUGGUUCUGCCAAUAAAAGAUUGAUUAUACAUAUUUA
rnacentral:misc_RNA from 1 species